ACAAACUUGGUCAUUUAGAGGAAGUAAAAGUCGUAACAAGGUUUCCGUAGGGUGAGUUUUCUGCUGUUUUCUUGUGACAUUACUGACUUGCUUUAGUGAACCUGUGGAAGGAUCAUUACCGAGACUCCUGCUUGCAGGAACUCCACCCUUGAUUACAUGCGUUGCUUCGGCGAGACGUUGGAAGCAGCCAUUGGUAUACCGAUGCGCGCUCGCCGGAGUCAAACUCUGAACUAUGUGUUGUCAGAGCAUCAAGCAAUAUAAAAACUUUCAACAACGGAUCUCUUGGCUUCGGCAUCGAUGAAGAACGCAGC
rnacentral:misc_RNA from 1 species